GGUAUAAAUUGAUUCGAUGAAUAGUCACAAUAAUGCAUUUAAGAACAGUCAUUAGUUUUUAGCUUUUUGAAAAAUCUUGGAAGCCUUAUAUACUUUGUAGAUGACAUGGCUAUUUUCAGAAUACAAUUCAAACCUUUCAUUAUUGUAAUAGGACUCUCCAUAGUGAUUGCUAUAGUUUCACUUUUGGCUUUUAUCUCAAAACGCAACGAUGAAAAUGAAAUGCCCGAUCCGCAAUUCGAAUUGGCCACGUCGAGUAUGCCGAUGGGCUUGUACAACAAAGCCGGAGUAGUGUCAAAUGGUGGACCGUGCGCACAAAUCGGAGUGGACGUGAUGGCGAAAGGUGGAAAUGCCGUUGAUGCUGCUAUAGCUACAAUGAUAUGUGACGGUGCUUCAUGCCCUCAAUUCAUGGGUUUGGGUGGAGGAUUUGUUAUGACUAUAUACAACGCUACGACUAAAAAAGUAAUGUCAAUCAAUGCCCGUGAAAUGGCACCAAAGGCGGCAACUGAAUCCAUGUUUGUAAAAGAACCUACACUUUCUGUAUAUGGUGGUUUGGCGGUUGCAGUUCCGGGAGAAGUUAAAGGCUAUAUGACUGUCUAUAAUAGAUUCGGUGGUAAUGUUUCAUGGGCAUCACUAUUUGAGCCAACUAUAAAGUUAUGUGAAGAAGGCAUGCUGAUUAGCGAACGUUUCGCAAUAAGUUUAAAAAAUAAAGAAGAAUUGAUCAAAAAUGACACGAUUCUUAGAAAAACUUUUUUCGACGAAAAAACUGGACAUGUAAAGACAAUCGGAGAAAUGUACACAUUACCCAAGUUAGCAGAAACUAUGAAAGUCAUAGCAAAGGAAGGUGGUGAUGCCUUAUACAAUGGUACGUUAGCUGAUAAAUUAUUAGAUGACUUAAAAAAAGUAAAUGGGAUAAUGACAAGAGAAGAUUUAGCCGCCUACGCAGUCAAAGUCGAAAAAUCUUUUUCUGUUAAAUUAAAAAGUGGACAUACAAUACACACGGGGCCACCACCUGGUUCCGGUGUAAUAUUAGCUUACAUACUGCGUGUGUUGGAUGGUUUGUUACCAGCACCCAAUGAAGGUUUGGACGCUCACCGAAUUGUGGAAGCUUUCAAAUUUGGUUACGGCGAGAGAACCCAAUUAGGAGAUGCUAUGUUUGUAAACGUGUCUGCAAUUUACGAUAAAGUCAAGUCGGAUAGUUACAUGGAUAAAAUACGUAGUCAAAUAUUCGAUAAUUUCACUUCGGCAGAUCCUAAGUACUACGGAGCUAAUUUUAGUAUCCCAGAAAACCACGGAACUGGCAAUUUGGCUGUGAUCGAUUCAAUGGGAAACGUUGUCAUAAGUACAUGUACCAUAAACACAUAUUUUGGUUCCGGUUUCACCUCUCCCAGUACCGGUAUUAUUCUGAAUAACGAAAUGGACGAUUUCUCGACUCCGGGAGGCGUCAACUCUUACGAUUUUCCAUCUUCGCCGGCCAAUUACAUUGAACCGUACAAACAGCCAAUGUCUUCGAUGUGUCCAAGUAUAUUCACGGACAAAAACGGAGAUUUUGCUUUCGCUGUGGGAGCAGCGGGAGGGUCAAAAAUCACUCUUGCGACCGCCUACGUGUCUGCUUAUAAAUUAUGGUACAAUAAGACACUGAAAGAAGCUAUAGACAAACCAAGAAUUUUUCACCAACUUGUACCUAUGCAAAUUCAAUAUGAAUACGGAAUGACUAAAGAUGUAAUACAAACACUUAAAGAUAUUGGUCACCCAGUGACCCGAUUGCCAAAUAAUAGAUUUUCAGCAUCAACAGCUAUUGCUAAAACGAUUUCUGGAAUGAUAGAAGUUAUGCCAGAUUAUCGACGACCAGGAAAUUGCUCUGGAUACUAAAACCAUUAUAAUAAUUUUUAAAAAUGUGUAAAUUAUUGUAUAAUAUAUCCUACCAAACACACUUCGUGUAAUUAAAAGAUAUAUAACAUGGAGUUAGAACGAAGGGAUUUUUGGUGUCAUAUCAGCUAUUUUUUUUAUAAAAAAAGUCAUAAUUUUAUAAUAAUAAUCCAGCUAGCAUCGUUGGCAAUCGUUGUACAUUAUACGUCGUCGUCAUCGCCGAAAUUAGGUAGUGCGGACUAAUAAACGGCAGAUCGGGAGACAUAUCAUUUUACGAUAUUUCCGUAACGUACUCAAAAUCAGUCUUAAAAGUAUUUGAUACUUAUACGGCUUUAUAUGUUCAGCCGUUUGCCCUGUAGAACUGGCUGACGGAUUAACAACAAUUAAAACGGUAUUUAAAUAUUAAAAAUAUAUUUCCUGUUAUAAUACGUUGGUGAUUAGUACGAUAUUAUUAUUAUUAUUUUUUUUUUUACUUAGUUUCACGCCACUACCCUCGCACUGAAAUAAUUUGAAAAUUACAAAAUAUAACUAUUAUAUAUUAUAAUUACGUCUAUUGUCUAUGUUCUCUACUUAUAUACCAUCCUGUAAUAUAUUAUAUGACUUUUUUAUCUAUUGUCUAUCUAUUUUCGACCUUUGUUUAUACUAAUAUGCUUUAUGUUAGAUAACCUAUACACUCAAAUUUUUUAAUGCAGUGGUAAAUUUAGUGCCAUGACGAUUGUUUUAAAGCAAUAAUUAAUUUUGACACGUACAUUUUUACAUUGUAAUAGUGUGAUCUGAUAAAAGUCAUUUGUCAACCUCACCCAACCUUAUAAUAAUAUUAUAAUGUAUUGAAUAUAUUUUAUAUACCCUAAGAUUA